CGAAAGCCUGACGGAGCAACNCCGCGUGAGGGAUGAAGGCCUCUGGGCUGUAAACCUCUUUUCUCAAGGAAGAAGAAAUGACGGUACUUGAGGAAUAAGCCACGGCUAAUUCCGUGCCAGCAGCCGCGGUAAUACGGGAGUGGCAAGCGUUAUCCGGAAUUAUUGGGCGUAAAGCGUCCGCAGGCGGCUCAGAAAGUCUGUUGUUAAAAAGUGGAGCUCAACUCCAUCCCGGCAAUGGAAACUACUGAGCUUGAGUGUGGUAGGGGCAGAGGGAAUUCCCGGUGUAGCGGUGAAAUGCGUAGAUAUCGGGAAGAACACCAGUGGCGAAGGCGCUCUGCUGGGCCAUAACUGACGCUCAUGGACGAAAGCCAGGGGAGCGAAAGGGAUUAGAUACCCCUGUAGUCCUGGCCGUAAACGAUGAACACUAGGUGUCGGGAGAAUUAUCCCUCUCGGUGUCGUAGCCAACGCGUUAAGUGUUCCGCCUGGGGAGUACGCACGCAAGUGUGAAACUCAAAGGAAUUGACGGGGGCCCGCACAAGCGGUGGAGUAUGUGGUUUAAUUCGAUGCAACGCGAAGAACCUUACCAGGGUUUGACAUCCUGCGAAUCCCUUGGAAACGAGGGAGUGCCUUCGGGAGCGCAGUGACAGGUGGUGCAUGGCUUCUCAGCUC
rnacentral:rRNA from 1 species